rnacentral:lncRNA from 1 species
GGAAAGUUUGUUCAAAGUAUAGCAGUUAAAGCAGUAGAGAGAUUGAAAGGUCAAAAUUGAACGAUGUCUUAAAAAUGAAUGAUCGGAUCCUUCAAUUUAAAAUUGAAGUUAUUGAUCUUUAUCUAGAUAAUGAAUAGAAUUUUCUAUCAAAAAUUCAACCUAUUCGGAUUCUUUUGCACCAUUAAACUAGCAAGUAUUCCAUACCGACCGUUCAAAAUUAUCAAUUUUGUGAGCUUUUGAUCAUAAGGUAAAUGAUGUCGAAAAAUUAUGAAAUUUGAUUUUUAGAUGUUUCAAAUGCUCUAGAUAACGUUUAACGGUGUGGAUCGUCGAUUCGGAAGCUCUAUCAUCAAAAACAACUUAUGAGUACAAGGGUGAUCGUACUCAUAAGAGUAUAGUAGCUGGACCCUCUCUCUCUCUCUCUCUCUCUCUCUCUCUCUCUAUAUAUAUAUAUAUAUAUAUAUAUAUAUAUAUAUAUAUAUUUACUUC